GUCUAUGGCCAUGCUACCCUGAAUAAGCCCGAUGCCAUCUGAUCUCAGAAGCUAAGCAGGGUUGGGCCUGGUUAAUACUUGGAUGGGAAACCACUUAGGAAGACCAGGUGCUGUAGAUG
ensembl:rRNA 5S_rRNA 5S ribosomal RNA